UACGGGGGGAGCAAGCGUUGUUCGGAUUUACUGGGCGUAAAGGGCGCGUAGGCGGUCAGCACAAGUCAGUUGUGAAAUCUCCGGGCUUAACUCGGAAAGGUCAACUGAUACUGUGCGACUAGAGUGCAGAAGGGGCAACUGGAAUUCUCGGUGUAGCGGUGAAAUGCGUAGAUAUCAGGAGGAACACCGGUGGCGAAGGCGGAUCUCUGGGCCAUUACUGACGCUGAGGAGCGAAAGCGUGGGGAGCGAACAGG
rnacentral:rRNA from 1 species